rnacentral:rRNA from 1 species
GAUGAACGCUAGCUACAGGCUUAACACAUGCAAGUCGCGGGGCAGCAUGGGGGUUGCUUGCAAUCCCCGAUGGCGACCGGCGCACGGGUGAGUAACGCGUAUCCAACCUGCCCUUCACCACGGGAUAACCCGGCGAAAGUCGGACUAAUACCGUAUGUUGUCCAUUGACGGCAUCCGAUUUGGACGAAAGGCUUGGCGGUGAGGGAUGGAGAUGCGUCCGAUUAGCCAGACGGCGGGGUAACGGCCCACCGUGGCUACGAUCGGUAGGGGUUCUGAGAGGAAGGUCCCCCACACUGGAACUGAGACACGGUCCAGACUCCUACGGGAGGCAGCAGUGAGGAAUAUUGGUCAAUGGGCGUAAGCCUGAACCAGCCAAGUAGCGUGCAGGAUGACGGCCCUAUGGGUUGUAAACUGCUUUUAUGCGGGGAUAAAGUGGCCCACGGGUGGGCUUUUGCAGGUACCGCAUGAAUAAGGACCGGCUAAUUCCGUG